rnacentral:rRNA from 1 species
GAUCUGGUUCAGGAUGAACGCUAGCGGCAGGCUAACACAUGCAAGUCGAGGGGCAGCGGGAUGUAGCAAUACAUUGCCGGCGACCGGCGGAUGGGUGCGUAACGCGUAUGCAACCUACCUUAUACAGGGGAAUAACCUUUCGAAAGGGAGACUAACACCCCAUAGUAUUGAUUUAAGGCAUCUUAGAUUAAUUAAAUAUUUAUAGGUAUAAGAUGGGCAUGCGUAUGAUUAGCUAGUUGGUAAGGUAACGGCUUACCAAGGCGACGAUCAUUAGGGGUUCUGAGAGGAAGGUCCCCCACACUGGUACUGAGACACGGACCAGACUCCUACGGGAGGCAGCAGUGAGGAAUAUUGGUCAAUGGGCGCAAGCCUGAACCAGCCAUGCCGCGUGCCAGGAAGACGGCCUUAUGGGUUGUAAACUGCUUUUACAUAAGACUAACCGUAUAUUUGCGAAUAUACCUGAAUGUAUUAUGAGAAUAAGGAUCGGCUAACUCCGUGCCAGCAGCCGC